UGGCGAACGGGUGAGUAACGCGUGAGGAACCUGCCUCAAAGAGGGGGACAACAGUUGGAAACGACUGCUAAUACCGCAUAAGCCCACGGGUCGGCAUCGACCUGAGGGAAAAGGAGCAAUCCGCCUUGAGAUGGCCUCGCGUCCGAUUAGCUAGUUGGUGGGGUAACGGCCCACCAAGGCGACGAUCGGUAGCCGGACUGAGAGGUUGAACGGCCACAUUGGGACUGAGACACGGCCCAG
rnacentral:rRNA from 1 species